rnacentral:rRNA from 1 species
GAUGAACGCUGGCGGCGUGCCUAAUACAUGCAAGUCGAGCGAGCGGACGAGAAGCUUGCUUCUCUGAUGUUAGCGGCGGACGGGUGAGUAACACGUGGAUAACCUACCUAUAAGACUGGGAUAACUUCGGGAAACCGGAGCUAAUACCGUAUAAUAUUUUGAACCGCAUGGUUCAAAAGUGAAAGACGGUCUUGCUGUCACUUAUAGAUGGAUCCGCGCUGCAUUAGCUAGUUGGUAAGGCAACGGCUUACCAAGGCAACGAUGCAUAGCCGACCUGAGAGGGUGAUCGGCCACACUGGAACUGAGACACGGUCCAGACUCCUACGGGAGGCAGCAGUAGGGAAUCUUCCGCAAUGGGCGAAAGCCUGACGGAGCAACGCCGCGUGAGUGAUGAAGGUCUUCGGAUCGUAAAACUCUGUUAUUAGGGAAGAACAUAUGUGUAAGUAACUGUGCACAUCUUGACGGUACCUAAUCAGAAAGCCACGGCUAACUACGUG